UUUGUCUUUCUGCUUCCAAGCUGGGCUCCAAAAGGAGAUUUUUUUUCUUGCUAGAUUCUCAAUACCUUUUACUAACUCACCUUCGUCAGUAAUAAUUUGUUUUAGUUGAGGCAAAGUCAGAAACUGUUCUAGUAAUACCUUCUCUUAUUCAUUCAUAUCUGUGGGUUGUGACACACCUAGUUCUGAGAGUUCUGGAAAUGCAUCAGGGACAUCUGGCAUCUUGUAACCAAAACCAUUUUGGCUUGUUGGUAUUGAAAUGUCCAUUGUGGGAACAGGUAACGGCAGAUCUGAAAGGAUGCCAAAUGAAGGAGGGGCGGGCUUGGCUGUGGUAUGACUUGUUGUUGAAGAAGAAACAGUGUUAGCAACAGAUAAAGAAGAGAUACUUGUGUUUGCUUCUUGUGGGGGAUAUAGAGGAAGAAAUGGAAAACGAGAAGCAUAAGAAGGCAUCCCACUUGGGUUACUGUAGAGCUAUACUGGAGUGUGAGUUACAGAAGGACUCGAUCAGGCACUGCUUCUUCUUCUGGAGGCUGGCGAGGCCACCGGGGGACCCAGCUGUGGAGGAGGAGGUGCUCUUGGUGGUCAGGGGAAAGAACCAGCUCAUCCUCCUAGGUCCCUGGGCCCCAGGCCCUGGAAGGCUCUGGCCUGCUUCUCCCAGCCGCUAGACCCAGCGGUUGUCCAGCAAUAGAGGAGUGGGCUGAGACAUCCAUGGCCUGAGCAUUGGGGACCUCGUCUUCUCUAAGCCAGCCCUGCUUGUGCUCCCCACUUCCUGGGGUUCUGGGGGACAUGCUAUGAAUGGCGGGCAGCCGGAAAGGGGAACUUGCCACUCAGAACAGGCAGUCCCACCUUCACGGUCCAGACGCCCAAGCUCAGCUGGACAGUCAGGCAGCCUGACCACCCGGUGCUCCACCACCCUUGUCACUGUCUCUAAAAGGGCUCUUUUUUCCCCCCCAACCUACAGACAAUGGGUACUUCUGAAUAAAAGGACUCUUUUUUAAAAGCAUGGGUACAAUGUUAUUAUCACACCUUUAGAAAACCUAACAAUAAUCAAUAAUUAUCAUCAAAUAUCUAGGUAACAUAAAGCAAAUAAUAUUCAUUGACACCCCCACCCUGGAAAAAAAAAGCCAACCACUCAUUGCUAAGUGAGAAAAGGAAAACAGAAUAGACUCUGACCCUAUUUUGGCAAUAUACACAUCCUAAGGUAACAGUGAUUUGGGGUUAGAAAGAUUAUGGAUGCUUUAUUAAUCCUUAAGUUCUCUGUAUUACUUUUUGUUUGUUUGUUUUUUUGUUUUUGAGACAGAGUCUUAUUCUGUCACCCAGGUUGGAGCACAGUGGUGUAGUCACAGCUCACUGCAGACUCAACCUCCUGGCUCAAGCAAUCCUCCCACUUCAGCCUCCCAAGUAGCUGGGACUACAGGGGCACACCACUACAUCCAGCUAACUUUUUUAUUAUUUGUAAAGAUGAGGCCUCCCUAUGCUGCCCAGGCUAGUCUCCAACUCCUGGGCCCAAGCAAUUCUCCCACCACAGCCUCACAAAGUGCUAAGAUUACAGGCGUGAGCCACCAGGCCCAGUCCAUAUUACUUUUUGAAUUAAAAAAUAAUGCAAAAGGAAGAAUAAGAUGAUAGACUUCUUUUUCAAAGUCGAAAUCCUCUGCUUUAUGAUUUUAGUAUUAAGGAUUUAUACUGUCCCAUCUUGAAAUGAAGAAGACACAGCCCCCCAGAGAAGUUAAGGGUCUUGGCCGUAAUCUCUGAGUAGGGGGAAGGCUGUGAGGAGAGAGGGGUAUCCUGCUGGAUUCCCAGACUCUUGGAGGAAACAGAGACAGAGGCCCUGGGACACCUCUCAAGCUCUGGUCCCUGUUGUCCCACUACCUUCACCCUCUUACCUUCCCAUCUUUAUCAAGCCUCACACAUUUGGGGCACUUUGCUGCUGGAGUUGACAG
ensembl:lncRNA